rnacentral:tRNA from 4 species
GGGUUCGUAGCUCUAACUGGGAGAGCGCCUGUCUUGCACACAGGAGGCUGUGGGUUCAAAUCCCACCGGAUCCA